UUCCUACGGGAGGCAGCAGUGAGGAAUAUUGGUCAAUGGGCGAGAGCCUGAACCAGCCAAGUCGCGUGAAGGAUGACGGCCCUAUGGGUUGCAAACUUCUUUUGUCAGGGAGCAAUUGAGUCCACGUGUGGGCUUAGCGAGAGUACCUGAAGAAAAAGCAUCGGCUAACUCCGUGCCAGCAGCCGCGGUAAUACGGAGGAUGCGGGCGUUAUCCGGAUUUAUUGGGUUUAAAGGGUGCGCAGGCGGCACGGCAAGCCGGCGGUCAAAUCGCGGGGCUCAACCCCGCCCAGCCGUCGGAACUGCCG
rnacentral:rRNA from 1 species